UGGGGAAUUUUGGACAAUGGGCGAAAGCCUGAUCCAGCAAUGCCGCGUGUGUGAAGAAGGCCUUCGGGUUGUAAAGCACUUUUGUCCGGAAAGAAAUCCUUGGCUCUAAUACAGUCGGGGGAUGACGGUACCGGAAGAAUAAGCACCGGCUAACUACGUGCCAGCAGCCGCGGUAAUACGUAGGGUGCAAGCGUUAAUCGGAAUUACUGGGCGUAAAGCGUGCGCAGGCGGUUUGCUAAGACCGAUGUGAAAUCCCCGGGCUCAACCUGGGAACUGCAUUGGUGACUGGCAGGCUAGAGUAUGGCAGAGGGGGGUAGAAUUCCACGUGUAGCAGUGAAAUGCGUAGAGAUGUGGAGGAAUACCGAUGGCGAAGGCAGCCCCCUGGGCCAAUACUGACGCUCAUGCACGAAAGCGUGGGGAGCAAACAGGAUUCAGAUACCCUGGUAGUCCACGCCCUAAACGAUGUCAACUAGUUGUUGGGGAUUCAUUUCCUUAGUAACGUAGCUAACGCGUGAAGUUGACCGCCUGGGGAGUACGGUCGCAAGAUUAAAA
rnacentral:rRNA from 1 species